rnacentral:rRNA from 1 species
GGGGGGGGGGGGGGGGGGGCGGGGGGGGGGGGGGGCGGGGGGGGAGGCCCGGCGGGUGGGGGGGGCUGGGGUGGCGAGCGGGGGAGUAACACGUGAGUGGCCUGCGCUUGACUUUGGUCUCACUUCGGGGCACUUGGGCUGCCACCCGGUCGGAUCCCCUUCUGCAUGGGUGGGGUUGUAAAGUUUAGGAGGGUGGGUAUGGACUAGCGGAUUAUCAGUUGGUUGGUGGGGUCGUUGCUUACCACGGCUUUUACGGGUAGCCGGCCUCAUCGGGUUACCGGCCACAUUGGGACUGAGAGACGGUCCAGACUCCUACGGGAGGCAGCAGUGGGGAAUAUUGAACAAUGGGCGGAAGCCUGAUGCAGCAACGCCGCGUGCGGGAUGACGGCCUUCGGGGUGUAAACAGCUUUCGCCUGUGACGAAGCGUGAGUGACGGUAAUGGGUAAAGAAGCACCGGCUAACUACGUG